GUGUGUGUGUGUGUGUGUGUGUGUGUGUGUGUGUGUGUAAGAAUUAGUUUAAUAGACGUUCGUUCAUUUAGCUGAGUAAUAGUUGUAGGUUAUUCUCUAGGGCCCGUAACCUGCUUAGUCACAAGUUCUUGGUCCCUAAAAUGAUGCCAGAUUUGAACCCCAACAUUUAGACUGGGUCUUAAAUCCAAUCAGUAAAUCAUUGGUUACUCCCAUGAUAUUCAUGGCACCGGUGGGCAUGUCUUGCCAGGCUGAUCAUUGUUGUAGCUUGCAGGGUUCAUAGCUGGGCAAGACUAGUGAUUUCUUUUAGCCUCUGGUAGCAUGCUCAGCUCCUUGUAGCACUAUGAAAUCUACCCAGUAAGGGUAGAGCUUCCAGCUUGACUUCUCUGUGUCUUAGGAUUCAAGUGUGGUGUUUUCAGCAAUAGGAUUUUACAAUAAAGUUCUGGAGAAUAAGUAAGAGUAAUGGUGAUAGCCUGUAAUGUUUGGGGAUCCAUGGGAUCUUACUGAGCAAUUAUAUUUUAAUUUUAGGUCAAUAGCACACAAAUGUUUAGUUUCAUGAGACAUUUGGAACAUGCUUAUAACAGCAAAUUUUCUGUGAACCCCAUUAGGUACCAAAAAAAAGGCUGAGUUCUCACCUAUGACAAUCAACCCCCCGUGAGUAAUAGGUGAACGCAAUAACCGCCUCUGCCAUAAAUCAGCAUUAACUUCUUAGCCAUUUGUCCACUGACACCAUUGUUCUCAUCUAGGAUCUGAGUAACUGUGAUUAAUGGUUUCUGAUAAACCUGAUGUCCAUAAACAUGGUGAUGAUUAGGAGGAACUUGAACACAUUCUAAAGAGUUGUAGAAAAACACAAUUUCCAGAAAGGAAGUGCACAAUCCCAUGUCAGAGGGACAGAAAUUCAAGCCCUUCUACCAGCCUGUUUCUGGAACACUUGAAGCACAUUGUCUAAAUCCCCUCCUUCAGGUUUGUAUUUUACAUCCAUAAAAUAAGGGUAUAUUAAGUUGUGUGAAGAUCAAAUGUAAUAAGGAAGAAAACCCUGAUCGCUUCCUAGAAUGUAGUGAGAGUUUUCCAGAUUUUAAAUGGUUUUCUGUGUAUUUGCUGUACUUCCCAAUACAUGCUUGAACAUGUGAGCGAGGGGAGACUGAUGAGGGCCUUGAAGGCCAAAGUAAGGAGACUCUUAAGCUAUCUACACAACGUUUAAGGCUAAGUCAGGCCACCUCACCCCAAGUUCUCACUAACUUUCUGAGAAACGGUGUGGCGUGUCAUCUCCUGUAAGGUCAAGCAUGCCCUCGUCACUGAGGUCAGAUUACCUCCUUUCUAUAAGUUUCUUCUUCAGAUCAACCUUGAUGAAGUGGACAAUGAGCAGUGAAGCUCUUGCCACGGUCCAGAUUUGUGGAAUAUGAGAAAUGCACAAACUGUGGAAGUGGCUGGAUCAAAAUCCUGGCUCAAGCACAAGCCCUUGUCCAAAAGAAUCAGCCCCGCUAAGAAUACAGACAAUAGAAAUAAUGGCAUGAGACGCUUAGCAUUUAACAAGUCCACCAUGAUGCCUGCUUGGAGGAACUACUUAUCUACGGUUUUCUUUCUUCCUUAGCGCACCUCCCUGAAGUUCUAUGACUCACAGGUCCUUGGUGUGCUCUCUCUCACACCUGUCAAUAAAGUGUUGAGUCAGUAUUCACUUGUUCAGAACAACCCUGUUUAGAAAAUGUUUCCUUGCUUUUUUGUUUGUUUUUUUGUUUGUUUGUUUGUUUUUUACCAAAAUACUUUAGACCAUCAACACCUGUGACCUCAGUCCUUCCUCCGUCUUUACGCUGCAGGCUGCAAGGUCCAACAGUCUCACAUCUUUGAAACUUGCAGAUGCCUGUUAUCUGCUCCUGCUGCUCGAGCCCUCAUCCAGUAGCUGACGGAAGCAGAGGCAGACACCCACAGCUAAACACUGAACUGAACUCUGGAACUCAGUUGCAGAGAGGGAGGAGCAUACAGGUCAAGACCAGGCUGGUGAAACCCACACAAACAGCUGACCUGAACAAGGGGGAGAGCAUGGACCACAGACUGAUGUCUGGGAGGCCAGCACGGGACUGAUCCAGACCCCUGAACAUGGAUGUCAAUGAGGAGGCCUCAGCACUCUAUGGGGCCCCUGGUAGUGGAUCAGAAUUUAUCCCUGGCAUAAGAAGGGACUUUGGGAGCUCAUCCCACAUGGAGGGAUGAUCUCUUGGCCUAGACAUAUGGGGGAGGGCCUAGGCCCUGCCCAGGAUGAUAUGACAGACAGUCUUACCCUCUCUGGGGAGCAGAGGGGAGAUGAGGUGGGAAGCUGGUAGGGG
ensembl:lncRNA